GACCUCAGAUCAGGUAGGACCACCGCCUGAACUUAAGCAUAUCAAUAAGGCGAGGAACAGAAACCAACAGGGAUUCCCCUAGUAGUGGCGAAUGAAGCGGGAAAAGCUCAAGUUUGAAAUCUGGCGGGCUCAUCCCAUCAGAGUUGUAAGCUGAAGAGGCAUCGACCGACGUCGUCCGGGCCCAAUUUCCUUGGAACAGGAAGUCAUUGAGGGUGAGAACCCCGUCUGUGGCUCGGAGCCUUCGUCCUUGUGUCGUGUCCUCGAAGAGUCGGGUUGUUUGGGAAUGCAGCUCAAAAUGGGUGGUAAAUUCCAUCUAAGGCUAAAUAUUGACGAGAGACCGAUAGCGAACAAGUAGAGUGAUCGAAAGAUGAAAAGUACUUUGAAAAGAGAGUGAAACAGUACGUGAAAUUGUUGAAAGGGAAGCGUUUGGCAUCAG
rnacentral:rRNA from 1 species